UCGGCCAAUUUAUCUUUCAGC
rnacentral:miRNA from 1 species